GGGCCCAUGGCGCAGUUGGUAGCGCGCUUCGUUCGCAAUGAAGAGGUCGGGGGUUCGAAUCCCCCUGGGUCCA
rnacentral:tRNA from 6 species